UUACGUAUGGAACAGUCAAAUGUUAAGAUAUAUGUAGGACGGCCGAAGGCGAAAGCAGCAUUUCAAGUAAUUUACCGUAACUGUAACUCGGAAGUCUGGGUAUCAAAUCGGAUUAGACACCCGAGUAGUCCAGACCGUCAACGUGAGGAUUUAACAUCCUAAACCUGGUGAUACGUUCGCAAGAAUUGUAAUCAUAGAAUUUGGCAGACAUAGUCAACCACUGUGGAGCAUGCGGUUUAAUGCGAUGAUCCGCGUAUAACCUUACCA
rnacentral:rRNA from 16 species